GACGAACGCUGGCGGCGUGCUUAACACAUGCAAGUCGAGCGGUAAGGCCCUUUCGGGGGUACACGAGCGGCGAACGGGUGAGUAACACGUGGGUGACCUGCCCUUAGCUCUGGGAUAAGCCUGGGAAACCGGGUCUAAUACCGGAUAUGACUCCGCGGCGCAUGUUGUGGGGUGGAAAGCCUUGUGCGGCUGGAGAUGGGCCCGCGGCCUAUCAGCUUGUUGGUGGGGUGAUGGCCUACCAAGGCGACGACGGGUAGCCGGCCUGAGAGGGCGACCGGCCACACUGGGACUGAGACACGGCCCAGACUCCUACGGGAGGCAGCAGUGGGGAAGUAUUGCGCAAUGGGCGGAAGCCUGACGCAGCGACGCCGCGUGGGGA
rnacentral:rRNA from 1 species